ensembl:misc_RNA 7SK 7SK RNA
GGUCGGGUGAUGAGGUUGAUUCGACAGCCAGGGUUGAUUCGACUGAUCUGGCUGGCUGGCUAGGCAGGUGACCCUUCCUCCCUCACCACUCCAUGUGCUUCCCUCCCGAAGCUGCCCAAUCGGUGGAAGAGGACGGCCUUCCCGGAAUAGAGACAGACCUGUCGAGCGUAUACUAGUAGCUGCGCUCCCCUGCUAGAACCUCCAAACUAGCUCUCAAGAUUAUUACUUUUUCUUUUCUCCAUAGUCUAGCUUAACUAAAAACCAAUAAACUCUAAUAAAUACAAUCUAGACUUGAUCAUAGUUUUUGAUCAAUU